GAUGAACGCUGGCGGCGUGCCUAACACAUGCAAGUCGAACGGAGUUUAACGCUGAUGAAGCUUCGGCAGAAUCUUGUUAAACUUAGUGGCGGACGGGUGAGUAACGCGUGGGUAACCUGCCUCAUACAGGGGGAUAGCAGUUGGAAACGACUGAUAACACCGCAUAAGCGCACGGUAUCGCAUGAUACAGUGUGAAAAUAUUUAUAGGUAUGAGAUGGACCCGCGUCUGAUUAGCUAGUUGGUGAGGUAACGGCCCACCAAGGCGACGAUCAGUAGCCGGCCUGAGAGGGCGGACGGCCACAUUGGGACUGAGACACGGCCCAAACUCCUACGGGAGGCAGCAGUGGGGGAUAUUGCACAAUGGGCGAAAGCCUGAUGCAGCGACGCCGCGUGAGUGAAGAAGUAUUUCGGUAUGUAAAGCUCUAUCAGCAGGGAAGAAAGACCUCGUAAGAGGGAUGACGGAA
rnacentral:rRNA from 1 species